rnacentral:rRNA from 1 species
CCUACGGGUGACAGCAGUGAGGAAUAUUGGUCAAUGGGCGGAAGCCUGAACCAGCCAAGUAGCGUGCAGGAUGACGGCCCUACGGGUUGUAAACUGCUUUUAUACGGGAAUAACGCGCCUUACGUGUAGGGCUUUGCAUGUACCGUAAGAAUAAGGACCGGCUACUUCCGUGCCAGCAGCCGCGGUAAUACGGAAGGUCCGGGCGUUAUCCGGAUUUUUUGGGUUUAAAGGGGGCGUAGGGCGGAUGUCAAUCGUGCUGUGAAAUGUCCGGGUUCAACCCGGGCCGUGCAGGGCGAACUGGCGUGCUUGAGUCCGCGGAAGGCAGGCGGAAUGCGUCGUGUAGCGGUGAAAUGCUUAGAUAUGACGAAGAACCCCGAUUGCGAAGGCAGCUUGCUGCAGCGGAACUGACGCUGAUGCUCGAAAGCGCGGGUAUCGAACAGGAUUAGAUACCCGGGUAGUC